rnacentral:rRNA from 1 species
GAUGAACGCUAGCUACAGGCUUAACACAUGCAAGUCGCGGGGCAGCAUGGGGGUUGCUUGCAAUCCCCGAUGGCGACCGGCGCACGGGUGAGUAACGCGUAUCCAACCUGCCCUUCACCACGGGAUAACCCGGCGAAAGUCGGACUAAUACCGUAUGUUGUCCAUUGACGGCAUCCGAUUUGGACGAAAGGCUUGGCGGUGAGGGAUGGGGAUGCGUCCGAUUAGCCAGACGGCGGGGUAACGGCCCACCGUGGCUACGAUCGGUAGGGGUUCUGAGAGGAAGGUCCCCCACACUGGAACUGAGACACGGUCCAGACUCCUACGGGAGGCAGCAGUGAGGAAUAUUGGUCAAUGGGCGUAAGCCUGAACCAGCCAAGUAGCGUGCAGGAUGACGGCCCUAUGGGUUGUGAACUGCUUUUAUGCGGGGAUAAAGUGGCCCACGUGUGGGCUUUUGCAGGUACCGCAUGAAUAAGGACCGGCUAAUUCCGUG